GCAGAAGCUAGCUGAAUUCUGCAAAGAGAAUGCACUGGUCAUAAGCAACACUGUCUUCCAAAAACAAAGGAGAUAACUCUAAACAUGGACAUCACCAGAUGGUCAGUACCAAAAUCAGAUUGAUUAUAUUCUUUGCAGCUGAAGAUGGAGAAGCUAUAUAUCAUUAGCAAAACAAGACCAGGAGCUGGCUGUAGCUCAGAUCACAAACUACUUACUGUAAUAUUCAGACUUAAAUUGAAGAAAAUAGGGAAAACCACUAGACCCUUCAGAUAUUACAUAAAUGAAAUCCCUUCUAACUGUACAGUGGAAGUGACAAAUAGA